GUUUGAUCCUGGCUCAGGACGAACGCUGGCGGCAGGCUUAACACAUGCAAGUCGAGCGAAGACUUCGGUCUUAGCGGCAGACGGGUGAGUAACGCGUGGGAAUCUACCCAUCCUACGGAAUAGCUCCGGGAAACUGGAAUUAAUACCGUAUACGCCUUCGGGGGAAAGAUUUAUCGGGGAUGGAUGAGCCCGCGUUGGAUUAGCUAGUUGGUGGGGUAAAAGCCUACCAAGGCGACGAUCCAUAGCUGGUCUGAGAGGAUGAUCAGCCACAUUGGGACUGAGACACGGCCCAAACUCCUACGGGAGGCAGCAGUGGGGAAUAUUGGACAAUGGGCGCAAGCCUGAUCCAGCCAUGCCGCGUGAGUGAUGAAGGCCCUAGGGUUGUAAAGCUCUUUCAACGGUGAAGAUAAUGACGGUAACCGUAGAAGAAGCCCCGGCUAACUUCGUGCCAGCAGCCGCGGUAAUACGAAGGGGGCUAGCGUUGUUCGGAAUUACUGGGCGUAAAGCGCGCGUAGGCGGAUCGGUUAGUUGGGGGUGAAAUCCCAGGGCUCAACCCUGGAACUGCCUCCAAUACUGCCGGUCUAGAGUUCGAGAGAGGUGAGUGGAAUUGCGAGUGUAGAGGUGAAAUUCGUAGAUAUUCGCAGGAACACCAGUGGCGAAGGCGGCUCACUGGCUCGAUACUGACGCUGAGGUGCGAAA
rnacentral:rRNA from 1 species